rnacentral:rRNA from 1 species
AAAGAGGAGUGGCGAACGGGUGAGUAACACGUGGGUAACCUGCCCAUCAGAAGGGGAUAACACUUGGAAACAGGUGCUAAUACCGUAUAACAAUCGAAACCGCAUGGUUUUGAUUUGAGAGGCGCUUUCGGGUGUCGCUGAUGGAUGGACCCGCGGUGCAUUAGCUAGUUGGUGAGGUAACGGCUCACCAAGGCCACGAUGCAUAGCCGACCUGAGAGGGUGAUCGGCCACAUUGGGACUGAGACACGGCCCAAACUCCUACGGGAGGCAGCAGUAGGGAAUCUUCGGCAAUGGACGAAAGUCUGACCGAGCAACGCCGCGUGAGUGAAGAAGGUUUUCGGAUCGUAAAACUCUGUUAUUAGAGAAGAACAAGGAUGAGAGUAACUGUUCAUCCCUUGACGGUAUCUAACCAGAAAGCCACGGCUAACUACGUGCCAGCAGCCGCGGUAAUACGUAGGUGGCAAGCGUUGUCCGGAUUUAUUGGGCGUAAAGCGAGCGCAGGCGGUUUCUUAAGUCUGAUGUGAAGCCCCCGGCUCAACCGGGGAGGGUCAUUGGAAACUGGGAGACUUGAGUGCAGAAGAGGAGAGUGGAAUUCCAUGUGUAGCGGUGAAAUGCGUAGAUAUAUGGAGGAACACCAGUGGCGAAGGCGGCUCUCUGGUC